CAGCCCUCCCGCCGGCCCAGCCCGCCGGGCCGCAAGCCGGGACCACCCGCGAGAAGCGCAAACUUUUUUUUUUCCUUUUGCAAAAACUUUUUCUUGCUUUAGCCGCUGGCGCGCCGCCGCUCUUCCCGCUCACCCCUCACCUCCCUCCUAUUUCUCUCCCUUUUGCUGUUCUGGUAGAUGAGGUGGGGUGGCUGGAAGCGAGCGAGGGGGUGCCGGGCUUAUUGCACCCCCAGGACCCCCAGGAUCCUCCCCCUCCCUAGAGGGACCCUAUACUGCCUAACACCCCCCCCCCUGCCCGGUUUAACACGCUGCUGGUGGUUGGCAGGAAAUUCCGGAAUGGAUUCUAGGAUCAGUCGUCAAUGAGGAGUCCCUGAACCAGAGCCAGGAAUACACUGAGAAAAAUACUGCGGAGCGAGGAAAGAAGGGAGAGAAGUUCGUACGAGAAAGAUAAUAUUGGAAGGCUUUCUGCUCCCUCUGCUGGCGGUUCUGGCACUUGACACCAUCUUGGAGUCCGGGAAAAUGCAGGCACGAUGGAGCUAAAGAAGCUUUGACAGAUCUCCCACCACCACCACCACCACAACCACGAAAACCCAGUUAGGAUCCCGGAGACGGGGAUGUACGAGCCCAAUGAAAUGGAGGGCACACUUGCGAGGCUGUUAAUGCCUAGCGGUUGUGCCUGACGAGGGGUGCCCUGUCCCUUUGGAUUUGUGUUGCCAUAGUGACUGUAUUCAGGGAUGGGGGCAGCUAUUUCAGUCUCUGGUCUUUCUGAUAAAGAAGAGAAAGCAUGAUGGCGGAAAGGAGACCCUUCCCUUUAAUGUCAUCUCUCAGACAGACCUCCCACAUCCUAGCUAUGUCUCCAAGGACCACUUUUUUAAGUCUGGAAGGUCAGUGGUCCUACAGUUCUAUCUGAGAAUCAAGGGGGAAAAGAAAAGGUGAAGCUAGGGGCAGGCCAGAGGUCCUACAACAGGGUAGUGAUUCUGGGGGUGGGGACGUAUAGGGAACACUGUUUGAGUCUGCCUCCCCACAUGACUGACUCAAACCACUUACACAUAGAAGGUCAUGGACCUUCACCCUGCACCCAAUUCAGUCAGGCUGACCAAUGGUCAUUGAAAAAAGAAGGGACACAACAUAUGCUCCCUUCCCAGAUGCCUGCCCCUUCUUCAGAGGAGCUCUUUUAGAACACACUAUAGAUCAGCAAUUCUUAAACUUUUUUAUGUUUUAAGACCUCUCUAUGCUCUUCAAAAUUAUUGAGCUUUUUUUUUUGCAUGAGAUCUAGAUCUAUCAAUUUAUCAUAUUAGAAAUUAAAACAAAAAAUUAUAACACAAGAAUACACAAGUUCACAUUCCAUUAAGAAUAAUGUUAGAAAGAUGAUGUAAUUGCUUGAAACACUCUGGAAAACUCCAUUGUACGAUUUUGAGAUAAUGAGAAUAAAAAAGACAAAUAACAUCUUAA